GCAUUGGUGUUUCAGUGAUAAAAUUCUUGCCUUCUAUGAGGGAGACCCUGGUUUGAUUCCUGGCCAGUGCA
rnacentral:tRNA from 1 species